AAAAACUAAAACAAACACCACAAAUUUUACUCCGAGAGACUGUUGUACAAGGGAGAACUGAAAGCAUCCCUCACAUCUGGCUGGGAAAGGUACCAGUAUUUCUCCAGCACCUGAACCAGCAUUCCUCCCACAUCUUCAGCAUUCUCCACAGCAGUCAGGACACGCUGAGCGGAAGUAAUAUCUUUGGGCAUUGGACCAGAAGAGGCAGGUAGCAGUCCACAAAAGGAUAAAUGGAUUGACAAUUCCCUUGUCUCACCCCGUACUGUCAUUUCCUUACACUUCAAUUGAGUUGCACGCUCUGCUGCAUCUUCUUCUUCAAAAAACACAUUGACAGCGUGACACCUAUCAAACUUGUCCGCCCUGAAAAUUUUUACAAAUUUUACGACCCCACAUGGAGAAAAGAACUCCUUGAUUUCUCGUACAGAGACACCUCGUGGAACAUUCUUUACCCUCACCAUUUUCGACUUAACAUGUAUAAACUUCACUGGUGGUACCCAAUCAACAAAAUGGUCAUAAUAGAAGGUUGCACUUAAUUUUUGAAUCUCUCUAAGUUCCACUUCAG
rnacentral:misc_RNA from 1 species